UCUUCAUUUCUCGUACUCUCUCACCGGUUCAGAGAGGCGAGAGAGAGAGUGUGAGAAAUAAAGAGA
rnacentral:pre_miRNA from 1 species